UACGUAGGGUGCAAGCGUUGUCCGGAAUUAUUGGGCGUAAAGAGCUCGUAGGCGGUCUGUCGCGUCGGAUGUGAAAACCCAGGGCUCAACCCUGGGCCUGCAUUCGAUACGGGCAGACUAGAGUUCGGUAGGGGAGACUGGAAUUCCUGGUGUAGCGGUGAAAUGCGCAGAUAUCAGGAGGAACACCGGUGGCGAAGGCGGGUCUCUGGGCCGAAACUGACGCUGAGGAGCGAAAGCAUGGGGAGCGAACAGG
rnacentral:rRNA from 1 species